CUAACAUCUGUGACUGUGAGAAAUAAAUGCCACCUUGCCACCCAACUUAGGGUGUUUUGUCAGAGAAACUUGAAUAAACUAAGACUACAUCCCACCUUUUCCUAAGAUGCCUCUGCCUCAAAUCUCUUGAACAUAUUGCAGACUAUUGCCAAAUUAACCUUCCUCUAAACUCUGUUUUCAAGUCCAUUCCCUUCUUAAAACUCUUAAUACCUACUGAUCACCUAGAUGUUGAAGCACAAACUCUUUAGCCCAUUAUUCCUUCUGCAGUAUGCUCCAAAUUAUUUUGCAAUUCCUCCUCCAACAUUAUAAAUUCCAAACCAGUCAGAAUACUCACAGUACUUCUCUUAACUGAAAUGCUCCUUGCCACUUAUCUGCUUAUCCAAUUACCAGUCACACCUGUCAGUUGUCCUCAGGUCCCACCUUUUCCAUAAAAUGUUUCUUGAUUUUUUCCUGUCUCUGAAAUCUUACACUGUUACUUCACACCAAUCAUUCCACAGACACAGAGACACAUUUAUUGGUGGCAUAGUUUUACUAGUUGUAUUGUUAGUUAAUUCUUUGUGAGUUUUCUUGAAGUCAGGCUGCUUUUUUUUUUUUUAAUUAUUUUUUUUGGUCUUUUCUAGGGCCCCAUCCAGUGGCAUAUGGAGGAUCCCAGGCUAGGGGUCUAAUUGACUGGAGCUGUAGCUGCUGGUCUACACCAGAACCACAGCAACGUGGGAUCCAAGCUGCAUCUGUGACCUACACCACAGCUCAUGGCAACACCAGAUCCUUAACCCACUGAGAGAGGCCAGGGAUCAAACCUGCAACCUUGUGGUUACUAGUUAGAUUUGUUAACCACUGAGCCAUGAUGGGAACUCCAGGCUGCAUUUCUUAUCAGCUAAUUCUCCUUUAUGAAAAAUAAUAGUCAUUUCACUAGGUUGUCUUAUUAAAUAAACAAAAAUGUUUAACUGUUAGGUAGCAUAUAGGAAGUUAUAAAAAGUUAUAUAUUUAUUAUUUUUAGGGGCCUCACCCAUAGCAUAUGGAAAUUUGGAGGCUGGGGCUCACAUUGGAGCUGCAGUGCUGACCUAUGCCAUAGCUGCAACAAUGGCAUAUAUGAGUCACAUCUGUGACUUAAGCCACAACUCACAGCAAUGCCAGAUCCUUAACCACUGAGCAGGGCCAGGGAUCAACCUUUCAUCCUCAUGGAUACCAGUUGGGUUCAUUACCACCAAGCCACAAUGGGGACUCCCUAGUUAUACGUUUGCAUCCUUCAUAUGCAUAAAAACCAUACUGAGUUUUAAUAGAUGCUCAAUAAACGUUUGGUGAAAUGAACAGUGAAUUUAUUCACUUCUGGUAAAUGACCUUUCUCUAGACUUUUUCUUUUUCUUUCUUUCUCUAAAUAUGUCUAGAUUCUGGAUGAAAUUGAUUUGGUCUCAUAUCCUUUAGAAGAUAAUAACUGCAAGUGAAUCAAUACUCAUAGUUGUUUGAUUUCUUAUUUUAUGGGAAUUGAUUCAGUUGUAAUCCAGCCUUUGGGGAAGGAAUAUGGAAUAGUAGUUCAUGUUUCUUCAGGGGUACUAUCUCCAUUGGCCAUCAUCCAGGAAGGAUUAUGUCAGUUACCCAUUUUUUUGGUCCACAGUAUCUUGUGCAUAUGGGGAUUUUUGGUGAUGGUGAGAGAAAUGAGCACAUAAAAUUGAUGGGGGUGAAAGAGAGGGUGUGUGUGUGUGUGUGUGUGUGUGUGUGUGUACGUUUGUACUUAGGGCAACUGUCUACAUAUUUGCAGGGUCUAACCAAUCUUGACUUGAAUCCAUGUUUUGGACUGAAUGGACCAUUCUCAAAAAUGAACUAAAACAUACAGUCCUUCAACUAACCACCUGUAUUGAAUUCUGUUAGUUUUAUUAACAUUUAACACCUCUCCCUUUAACUUUUUUGAGAUUUAUCCAGCACUAUCUUCUUAUCCUAACUUCUCCUUAUUUUAUAAAGGAGAUAAUUUCUUAGGAAAAAUUAUACAUGUUCCUAGAAACUUAGGUUAAUUUCUCAGGAGUAAAAUUAGACUAAAGUACCAAAAUUGUUGCUUAGUCUUCUGUUAACUGUUGACAUAUAUGAACCUUGGAACUGACUCAAGGAAUUAUCAUGUGACCCUGUGUUUGGAGGACUCUGACCUGAAGCACUAUUCUGAACUGAAAAAGUCAUCUCUACAUUUCCUGGCUAGUUUGCCAAAUGAAAGAAUAGCUGAUUAUCCCAAACGCAAGUUUGUUUUACUUCCUUUUUAUCAGGAAAAUCAAGCUAUUGUAAUUAAUAAUUUUCAUUAUGAAGGUCUUUUUUUCCGCCAUUUUAAGGUGGCUGAGUUUAUGAUGUCUGAGAACUGAUUAGCUAACCAACACAAGCUAUGCAGCUUUAACUGUCCAAAGCAUCCAAAGAGCUCCAAUUAACAGGCUUUUGGGGGACUUCAAACAGUCAGAGCCUUUGAAUGUACGCCAUUCCCCAAGGCAGCAUCUACUCGGCAUAAAGUGAAGGGGAGAUCUGGCAGUUAUUCUCUUGAUUUGAUCAGUGUAGCUAGUCAGGGUUCUAUUUCCCUGCUGAAUUAGCUGGUUUGGCUGCCUACUCUGAUCAAGUCAGAUGGAUAAUUGUCCAAUCUUCCUUGGUUUUGUAUCCUAUAAACAGAGCUUAGAAAAAAAAUAGGAUUAAUGGCAGAGAAUAACUGAUCUUCCAGCUUUUUAAAGAUUAUUAUUAUGCUAUUAGUAGGUCAAUUGUCCAAGGUCAGAAUGUUCUGUUGCUUCGUGUCAAGGUGUUCUUGUUUGGUUUGGCUUCUUUUCUACUUAACUAUAAAUCAGAUUAGCCUAUUCAGAGAUGUUUAACAGUUUGAAAUUUUAGCAUAAUGCUUAACACCAAAUGUGAAAAAGAAAAAAAUUGACAUGGGAAAUAUGACAUACAAACAAGGUACUACCUGGGUUUCUGUUAUUUAAACAUAGCCACUAUUCUCUACAGUCCAUUGAACAGCUCUGUUUAAGAGCUAGAACAUAGUCAUACUCAAGCAGCAUUAAUAAUUUAGUCUUGGUUUUGCAUUAUUAGAUACUGAGGCCAUUGAUAUUUUAUCACUUAUCUCUCAACCCAGGGGCAUUUGCUAAGACCAGUUUUCCAUUUUUAAAUGAUGGCACUAAGCCAUAGAAAGACUAUCAAAUUGUUAUUUUUCUUUUAUGAAUGGUGACUCAAAGACCAUUCAGAAAUUUUAUUGCACUGCUUUUGUGGUGCCCCUUUAAAAGGGGGCUUUAAUAAAGACAGUCUUGAAAUUGCUUUGCAGAGCUCAGUCUGAAUUGGGGGGAGCAUAUUAAGUGAUUUUUCAAAUACAAACCACAGACAGUUGUAUUUCCUCUUCCCUAAAAAGCAAGAAGAGAAAAUAGAAAUAAAUGACUUGGCUUGGAAAAGUUGAUGUAUUCAAAUAAUAAUGAGAGAAAACUAAUCCUGGCUUCCUCAAACACUCCCUCAAAUAGCAUGUGUUCUGGGGAGAGGUGCCCAUUGGAUUCUGAGUGCAGACUAUGAACAUGUAUAUAGUUACACACAGGAUAGUCCUUGCAUAAAACAAUGCUGGUCAAUAAGUCUCUCCUCACAUAUCCCUUUUUUUCCAAGUCCUCUUGGAUUUUCUCCUGCAUAUGUCCUACUCUGAUUAUUCUUUCUCACACUCUCAAUAACUCUUCCGAUCUUCCUUUCUUCAAAAUGGGUUCAGAACCUUCCCACCUUUUCCAGUACUCUUUCCUUCUUCCUAUCCCCCUGCUCCCCAGUCAUCAGUCCAUUAAACUCAACAUUACUUGAUGCCAUUCAUGCAAAACAAGUAUGAUUUCAUGGAAACUCAGAGAGGUAUUAUUUAUCCCCAAAGGAUUUAAAAAUAAACAAGUUAAUUUUAAGCUCUUAAUAUCAGAAAAAUACAUUUUCUAUGGUCUUGGUUCAAUAUCGGUAUCACUUCUUAAAGACUGAUAAAAGUGACUGUUCAACAUUAGUUCAUCCCACAUCAGAAAUUAAGUGAAGCACAGAAGUUUGAUUCUGAAGGCCAGCCCAGGUAGGUUUUCAUUUGAAGGAUCUCUUUCUGGUGGUGGUCAGUACUGAAUGUGUGUGCAUGUCUGUUUGUGAAGAGGCUGGUCACUCAGAGAGGAGCAGAAGUAAGUAAAAAAGGAAUUGACUUUACCAGGAAUGGCAAAAAUAUGACGUCUGUGCUCCAGUUCCCUAAUUCUGCAUUUAAGACAUAGGUCACUGAGCGAGCACUAAAUUCUCUCCCAGGGAGCCAAACACAGUGCGGGUUUGCUUUUCAACACAGACUUUUAUUCAGUGGCUUCCAACUGGAAUUUAUGAGGAAAACUAUUUAUACUGAAGACCUAGACAAUCUCUGUUCAAUCCUCACAGUCUGUAGAUGAAUCUACUGGUGUUUUCUUGGGAGAUUAAAAACACUCCUUGUAGGCUUUUAAUUCAAAAUUAGAAUGAUCUUUACUCAGAGCCUCUUGGGAAUUAGACACAUCUCACAAAGACUUAGGGAAGCAGUUAUAGUUUUGCUUCUCUCUAAAACAUCUGUUCCGACUAGUAGGAAUUCGGGUCACUGCUUUAUUUUUUAUAUUUAACUAUCUAGGGAAUUUCUAAGUUUCCUAUGUAGACAGGCAUAUGAUAUAUUCAUUAAAUUUAUUAAAAUGUGUUUUCUGGAGAAAGAAAAAGAAAUGUAGGUGACUUAUGAUAUUGUGUCUUAGGAUUGUGUCCUACAUUGUGCUAAUGUCCUAGCAUAAUAGGAUAAGAUUUUAUUUUUGAUUUAACCCUAAUCCUCACUCUAACUUCAACUCACCAAAAGUAUGAUUAUUCAAUAUUGCAUAACAUCUAGAUACAUAUCUAAUGUGUAUUGGGGAAAAUAUAUGGAAAGGCUGUGGGACUUAGUGGUUAUGAGACUGGUGGCAAAUAGCUGGGUUGGAAUCCUAACUUUUUAGCUUUGUGAUUUAAGGAAGUUUACUUAAUAUUUUGGUGCCUCUAUUUGCUUAUAUGGGAAAAGAAGAUAUUAAUAGUACUUACCUCCUAGGAUUAUUUUGAGAAUUUGUUGAUUUGUUUAUAUCAAGUGUUCAAAACACUAUGUAUACAAUAACAUUAGCUACCAUAGCCAUACAAUCGAUGCUGAAAUUAACUACACAAUACCAUUCUUAGCCAUAUUCCACCCAAUCAGCAAUAUGUAUCUUUGUCUAAGCCUUCCAUUUAUUUGUAACUUUACUCAUUUAUUCCUAGAAUAUUUAUGAUUUCAAGGUACUAUAUAUUUAACUAUAUGUAUAUAUAUGACAAUAAUGUGGCAAACUGAUUUAAGCAAAAAAACAUUGUAUAUACCAACUUGAGUGCAUGACAUAUGUCAUAUACAGUGGUGAAAUAUCUAGCCUUUAUUACUUACUAUCCUGCACUACAGAUAAGAAAACUGAGGUCCAGAGGGAGACGUUAUUAUCCCAGAUAAUAAGGGCCAGAACCAGGGCCAGGAUUUAAACUCAAGUCUGUUUACUCUGUCCUCUUUCAGUUGUAUUAAGGCUCUGGGACUACAUGGAGUGAGAGUCUAGUAAAUACUCUCAAAGUACUAUCAUCUAUGAAUAAAUACUUCUUUGCUGGAAUUGGGAGAAUCUGACUUGAAUCAAUAUUAUUUAAUACAAAGCUCUAAUUUUCUGAGAAAAA
rnacentral:lncRNA from 1 species